GCUAGGCAAUUAGCUCGACCUUUAAAAUAAAUUUUUCUUAACUGAAAUGAACUUAACCUAAUCAAACAAACCAUUUUUACGCUUUAGUAGGGGCGACCGAAAGAGUUCAAUGAAGCUAUAUAAAUAGUACCGCGAGGGAACAUUGAAAGAAUAAUGAAACAAAUGAUAUAAGCGCAAAGAAGCAAAGAUUAAUUCUUGUCCUUUUGCAUCAUGAUUUAGUAAAUAGAACAAGCAAAAAGAAUUUCAGUUUAUUCCCCGAAACUAAAUGAGCUACCUCAAGUCAGUCUUUGCUAAAUAGGGCUAACCCGUCUCUGUGGCAAUAGGGUGGGGAGAACUUCAGGUAGUGGUGAAAGCCAAUCGAAUUUAGUGAUAGCUGGUUUUUUGGGAAAUGAAUAAAAGUUCAGCCUUAAGCUCUUCGUUAUGAGUUGAAAUUAAUGAACAAGUUUUUUGAGUUAAUUGUAAGGGGUACAGCUCUUAUAAUCAAGGACACAGCCUUAUUUGGAGGGUAAAGAUCACAUAAAGUAAUGAAUUGUAGAAGUGGGCCUAAAAGCAGCCAUCUAAAAAGAAAGCGUUAUUGCUCGAACAAGUUUUUUAAAAAAUACCGUUAACUAAUCUUCACCCCCUGGAUUUACCAAAAUAUCCCACCUAAAAUGGGAGAAAAAAUGCUAAAAUGAGUAACAAGAAAACCAGAUUUUCUCCUUACACAAGUAUAACGGAGCUAGGACUAUCCGCUCUAAAUUAACGAACUCAAUCUAAAGAGAGUAGUAUGACUUAAACCAAGAAAAGAUCAUUAACCAGUAUCGUUAACUCUACACUGAAGUGUUUAAAAGGAGGGUAAUAGGAAAGAGAAGGAACUCGGCAAACAAAAUUGACCUCGCCUGUUUACCAAAAACAUCGCCUCUUGCUAGAUAAAGUAUAAGAGGUACAGCCUGCCCGGUGACUAUAAGUUUAACGGCCGCGGUAUUCUGACCGUGCAAAGGUAGCGUAAUCACUCGCCCCUUAAAUGAGGGCUUGUAUGAAUGGCUAGACGAGGGUCUUACUGUCUCCUUUUUCCAACCUGUGAAAUUGAUUUACCCGUGCAGAAGCGGGUAUAGUAAUACAAGACGAGAAGACCCUUUGGAGCUUUAGGUAAAGAGUUACUCAUGUAAUUAAGGCUUACAAAUAUAUAAACAUAGUGAAAUUAUCAUCUUACCUUAGGUUGGGGCGACCGUGGAGAAAAACAGAUCCUCCAAAUGGAUUGAGCUUAUGCUUAAAACCCAGAAUUACAAUUCUAAGUCACAAAACAUUUGACCAAAAGAUCCAAUAAGUUGAUUAAUGAAAAAAGUUACCCUAGGGAUAACAGCGCAAUCUCCUUUGAAAGUUCCUAUCGACAAGGGGGUUUACGACCUCGAUGUUGGAUCAGGACAUCCUGAUGGUGCAGCCGCUAUUAAGGGUUCGUUUGUUCAACGAUUAACAGUCCUACGUGAUCUGAGUUCAGACCGGAGUAAUCCAGGUCAGAUUCUAUCUGUACAGUCCCUUUUCCUUGGUACGAAAGGAUUAGGAAAAGGAGGCCUAUGUUUUAAGCACGCCUCAUCUUUCACCUUUGAAUCGAAAUGAAAAGGAUGAAGAGAAACAUUUUAGAUCUCUAGAUAAGAGAGAA
rnacentral:rRNA from 1 species